rnacentral:rRNA from 1 species
CCCUUAGAUGUUCUGGGCCGCACGCGCGCUACACUGACGAAUGCAACGAGCUUAUAACCUUGGCCGAAAGGUCUGGGUAAUCUCCAAAUUUCGUCGUGAUGGGGAUAGAUUAUUGCAAUUAUUAAUCUUCAACGAGGAAUGCCUAGUAAACGCAAGUCAUCAGCUUGCAUUGAUUACGUCCCUGCCCUUUGUACACACCGCCCGUCGCACCUACCGAUUGAAUGGUCCGGUGAAUCUUUAGGACUGUGGCUGAGGCCUUGCCUUGUGCGGGUCUGGCCGUGGGAAUUUAGUUAAACCUUACCAUUUAGAGGAAGGUGAAGUCGUAACA